GGAGUUUGGGCCGUGUCUCAGUCCCAAUGUGGCCGUUCACCCGUUAAGGCCGGCUACUGAUCGUCGCCUUGGUGGGCCGUUACCUCACCAACUAGCUAAUCAGACGCGGGUCCAUCCUUAUCCGUCGCAGCUUUUCACACUGUACCAUGCGGUACUGUGCGCUUAUGCGGUAUUAGCAGUCGUUUCCGACUGUUAUCCCCCUGAUAAGGGUAGGUUACCCACGCGUUACUCACCCGUCCGCCACUAAGUUGCUUCGGUGUUCGCCCCUUCGAGCAAGCUCUCCGGUUUGAACGGUGAAACAACUCCGUUCGACUUGCAUGUGUUAAGCACGCCGCCAGCGUUCAUC
rnacentral:rRNA from 1 species